rnacentral:rRNA from 1 species
GAUGAACGCUGGCGGCGUGCUUAACACAUGCAAGUCGAACGAUGAAGCCCAGCUUGCUGGGUGGAUUAGUGGCGAACGGGUGAGUAACACGUGAGUAACCUGCCCUUAACUCUGGGAUAAGCCUGGGAAACUGGGUCUAAUACCGGAUAGGAGCGUCCACCGCAUGGUGGGUGUUGGAAAGAUUUAUCGGUUUUGGAUGGACUCGCGGCCUAUCAGCUUGUUGGUGAGGUAAUGGCUCACCAAGGCGACGACGGGUAGCCGGCCUGAGAGGGUGACCGGCCACAAUGGGACUGAGACACGGGCCGGACUCCUACGGGAGGCAGGAGUGGGGAAUAUUGCACAAUGGGCGCAAGCCUGAUGCAGCGACGCCGCGUGAGGGAUGACGGCCUUCGGGUUGUAAACCUCUUUCAGUAGGGAAGAAGCGAAAGUGACGGUACCUGCAGAAGAAGCACCGGCUAACUACGUG